AUCAAAAGGAUUAACAAUGUAGAUUAAUUUUCACAGCCUUCUUUGGUCAUAUUUACCAAGGGUGGCAGUAUUUUUGGCCAUGACAUAGGAGAUGAAAUAUAUUGCACAAAUUC